UGCAUAUCCAAUAAGCGGAGGAAAAGAAACCAACAGGGAUUGCCCCAGUAGCGGCGAGUGAAGCGGCAAGAGCUCAGAUUUGAAAUCGUGUUUCGGCACGAGUUGUAGAGUGUAGGCGGGAGUCUCUGUGGAGCGCGGUGUCCAAGUCCCUUGGAACAGGGUGCCUGAGAGGGUGAGAGCCCCGUAGGGUGCUGCGCGAAGCUUUUGAGGCCCUGCUGACGAGUCGAGUUGUUUGGGAAUGCAGCUCCAAGCGGGUGGUAAAUUCCAUCUAAGGCUAAAUAUUGGCGAGAGACCGAUAGCGAACAAGUACUGUGAAGGAAAGAUGAAAAGCACUUUGAAAAGAGAGUGAAACAGCACGUGAAAUUGUUGAAAGGGAAGGGUAUUGGGCUCGACAUGGGGGGUGCGCACCGCUGUCUCUUGUAGGCGGCGCUCUGGGCGCCCUCUGGGCCAGCAUCGGUUCCUGCUGCGGGAGAAGGGGCUCCGGAAAGUGGCUCUUCGGAGUGUUAUAGCCGGGGCCAGAUGCCGCGUGUGGGGACCGAGGACUGCGGCUUCUGUCUCGGAUGCUGGCAUAACGGCGCAAUACCGCCCGUCUUGAACACGGACCA
rnacentral:rRNA from 1 species